rnacentral:rRNA from 1 species
GAAACGGGUGGUAAUGCCGGAUGCUCCAGUUGAUCGCAUGGUCUUCUGGGAAAGCUUUCGCGGUAUGGGAUGGGGUCGCGUCCUAUCAGCUUGACGGCGGGGUAACGGCCCACCGUGGCUUCGACGGGUAGCCGGCCUGAGAGGGCGACCGGCCACAUUGGGACUGAGAUACGGCCCAGACUCCUACGGGAGGCAGCAGUGGGGAAUAUUGCACAAUGGGCGCAAGCCUGAUGCAGCGACGCCGCGUGAGGGAUGGAGGCCUUCGGGUUGUAAACCUCUUUUAUCGGGGAGCAAGCGAGAGUGAGUUUACCCGUUGAAUAAGCACCGGCUAACUACGUGCCAGCAGCCGCGGUAAUACGUAGGGUGCAAGCGUUAUCCGGAAUUAUUGGGCGUAAAGGGCUCGUAGGCGGUUCGUCGCGUCCGGUGUGAAAGUCCAUCGCUUAACGGUGGAUCCGCGCCGGGUACGGGCGGGCUUGAGUGCGGUAGGGGAGACUGGAAUUCCCGGUGUAACGGUGGAAUGUGUAGAUAUCGGAA